CGUUAUUUAUUUCUUCCAAAUAAAUAACUUACAUAUUAGUAAAUAACGUCAUAAUUUAAUUGUAAAUUCCCUUUUUAAAAGUAUCGACUUUAUCGAUAACUUAAUCUUCGGCGUCGAUAAUUCUUCAAAUUAUCGACGCGUUCCCAUCCCUAGACAGCGAAGCGGUCUUUUGUUCUUGUCCCCACUAUCGCGGCAGCCCCACUCGGUGACCACUGGCUCUCGAUCAUUCGUCCACGGGCUACGGCAUCGACUGCGCGUGACCCUACCUCACGGCAGUCCUCUAGGUGCCUAGCCCGCUCUAAAGUGUCGAAUGACCUAGACAUUACCAGUGGUAUCGUGUGUGUGUCUUCCCCAAUAUUGGGGUCCAAGGUCCACGCUACUACUCCAAGGUUCACGCUUACGUCCACGGUACGGUUUACCGACUGCACGGAACUUCUACCUACUUCUACGGCUCGCCCUCUACGUGCUGGUUCGGCAACCCCCUACCUUCGUGUUGCUGACCACGCCGCGCAGCCGAGCUACACGCCACGCGCACGCAACGGCCACGUGACCUGCCUGCCUACCUACCUGGGCACUGGAGAAGAGGACUUCCACGCCGGUCGCGUUAUCGGGGUUCCACGCCGAUACUCUUCGACCCAGGGGAGUCCCUAUCCGUGCCAACUGAAAACUGACUGAUCGUGUAGUGUAGGCCUAACCCACGUUGACCUAUAAAUAAAUUUGUGUCAAGCUGAACCCUGGCUUCUCAUUUCUACCUCUCCGUUAGCUAGCCAUUUUUCAUAAGCGCGACACUGGCGCCCUCCACGUGGUUCUAACGGUCAGUCAUUUCUUGGUUGGUAACGUAGCUUGUUUUGUGUGCGUGCAACUUGUAAAGACUUCUUUUUGUCAAUUUAUUUUAUUCCCGCUACACCUCGUAACUGUGGUACUGUGUUUGUAAUCUAGUUCUGUGAUAAAUUUAAAACUAUCGAUAUCGAUAAUAUUUUCUGUUUAAAAUAUUUAUUUGAUUGUUUCUUUAAAUUUUAUUCAUAUUCAACACAGUACAAUAGUUGCAUUUUCUUUUCAGCUGCAUCUUUUAUGCUUUGCUUUUAUAAUUUAUUGUGUACUUGAGAAAAACUGUCUACUUUAAUUGAUUUUGUAACAGAACGGAAUCAAUAAGUUAAGUAGAUCUGAUCACACAGUAGUUUUAAAAAUGACGCUUUUCGCCAUAGUUUUAGAUUUUCGGAUAGGAUCAAUUUUUUAAAUUAACUAUUUAAAAUAAUUGACAUCUACCCUAUAUCCCUUGUUUUAAAUGUAUUGACUUAAAAUCGUUAACUUUCUUUUAUAAUUGUACCCUCACUAUAGAAUUUUUUUUCAUGAAUAAUGAUUCUGCUUGAGACAGCGGAUUAUUACAUUUGCUGCCUCUUUGAAUGUAAGGCGGCCUUAUUAUUCUCUAAAUGUUUGAUAAGGCUUAUUAUGAUUGAAAGUAUGAAAGAUUUUUGCAAGAGAAGUAUGAAUGUGUAUGUAGUUUUUUUUAAACAUGAAUAAGUACUAAGCUGCGGAUUUUGACUUGUAGGAGGUCAAAAUCCUUGGGCAGAAAGGGGGGUAAUGUAACGUUAUUUAUUUCUUCCAAAUAAAUAACUUACAUAUUAGUAAAUAACGUCAUAAUUUAAUUGUAAAUUCCCUUUUUAAAAGUAUCGACUUUAUCGAUAACUUAAUCUUCGGCGUCGAUAAUUCUUCAAAUUAUCGACGCGUUCCCAUCCCUAGACAGCGAAGCGGUCUUUUGUUCUUGUCCCCACUAUCGCGGCAGCCCCACUCGGUGACCACUGGCUCUCGAUCAUUCGUCCACGGGCUACGGCAUCGACUGCGCGUGACCCUACCUCACGGCAGUCCUCUAGGUGCCUAGCCCGCUCUAAAGUGUCGAAUGACCUAGACAUUACCAGUGGUAUCGUGUGUGUGUCUUCCCCAAUAUUGGGGUCCAAGGUCCACGCUACUACUCCAAGGUUCACGCUUACGUCCACGGUACGGUUUACCGACUGCACGGAACUUCUACCUACUUCUACGGCUCGCCCUCUACGUGCUGGUUCGGCAACCCCCUACCUUCGUGUUGCUGACCACGCCGCGCAGCCGAGCUACACGCCACGCGCACGCAACGGCCACGUGACCUGCCUGCCUACCUACCUGGGCACUGGAGAAGAGGACUUCCACGCCGGUCGCGUUAUCGGGGUUCCACGCCGAUACUCUUCGACCCAGGGGAGUCCCUAUCCGUGCCAACUGAAAACUGACUGAUCGUGUAGUGUAGGCCUAACCCACGUUGACCUAUAAAUAAAUUUGUGUCAAGCUGAACCCUGGCUUCUCAUUUCUACCUCUCCGUUAGCUAGCCAU